CCUACGGGAGGCAGCAGUGAGGAAUAUUGGUCAAUGGACGAGAGUCUGAACCAGCCACGUAGCGUGAAGGAUGACUGCCCUAUGGGUUGUAAACUUCUUUUAUAUGGGAAUAAAAUGUUCCAAGUGUUGGAUUUUGUAUGUACCAUAUGAAUAAGGAUCGGCUAACUCCGUGCCAGCAGCCGCGGUAAUACGGAGGAUCCGAGCGUUAUCCGGAUUUAUUGGGUUUAAAGGGAGCGUAGGUGGAUAUUUAAGUCAGCUGUGAAAGUUUGCGGCUCAACCAUAAAAUUGCAGUUGAAACUGGCAGUCUUGAGUAUAGUAGAGGUAGGCGGAAUGCGUGGUGUAGCGGUGAAAUGCAUAGAUAUCACGAAGAACUCCGAUUGCGAAGGCAGCUCACUAAACUACAACUGACACUGAGGCACGAAAGUGUGGGGAUCAAACAGGAGUAGAUACCCGUGUAGUC
rnacentral:rRNA from 1 species